UAUAUUGGAGUGCUAUGCUUACUCAAAAUUUCAUACUAUUACAACUUCCUGUGAAUAAUAAAUAACAUGUACAAUAUUUCUAAUUGUCAGUAAGUAAUCACCUCAUAAUUUUAGGUACGGCUGCAUUUUCUUGCGAAACCUGCAACAGAGUAUAUAAAGCGAAAAGUUCCCUGUGGAGACAUAUGAAAUUUGAGUGUCGUCAGCCGCCACAAUUCAAAUGUAACAUGUGUUCCUAUCGAGCAAAACAGAAAUCAAGUUUGAUGUCCCACGUAUUCAACAGACAUUCCGUUUUUUUGAAAAAAUAUAUUCGGUCAUGAAUUCCAUAAAAAAAUAUGCCGAACACGUUUGUAGGAAUUGCGGAAAAAGUUACAUUUACAUAAAAAGACUGUAUCGCCAUAUGCAACAAGAAUGUGGUGUGGAGAGGAAAUUCGAAUGUCCCAAAUGUCACAAGAAAUUCAAACUGAAGCACCAUUUGAAGAAUCAUUUAAAUGCGUUGUAUGAUUGUGUCUCGAAGAAUAUCGAUCCAAAAUACAUUUUGUCAAAAUAAUGAGAGAUAUUAUCCGGUGGAAUCUUCAGUUAUAGUUUGAUUACAUGUGGUAUUUUGUAGAAAUAAGAAAUAUUAAACUGA